CUUAAUGCCCAUCGCUCUGCCACAGAUCUCCUCCCUACACCAAUAACCUGGAUUAGGAAUGAGUGGAUGUAGUCAUCCGGGUGAUCCACGCAGUGGCAACGAAAACACCAAUUCCCUGACAAAUAUUCAGCAGGUCUCACUAUCUGCCAAUAGCCUGCCUUCGUCUCAUUUCACCGUUGAGUCUGUGGCCAUGCAGCAUCUUGUAGGAACUUCAGGUGUAGCUACUCCGAUCCUCUGCUCUUUGAAUUGGUAGCAGACUAGAAAUCCCACUCGGUGUUGGUGCUUUAGAUGACAUCACCCAGUCCCGGCUUCAAUGAC